AAUCUACCUGCAGACUUUGUUGGCUACUCUAACACUGCAGUCAUCCUGGACGGGGCUGAGCCGCUCUUCCUCUCCUCCAGAAUGACGAGUUUUCAUCACCAAUAAAGGCAAACAAGUCUGAUGUCUGAGCUAGGAAGUAUAUUAUAUAUUCACUGUUCAUUUUGCUAUCCAGUUUGUACCUACAAUAAAAUUGAAUCUCAUUUGUAAUACUCUACAUUUCACAAACCUUUUUUUCCCCAUUUCUCGGUGUUUACGUUAUAUCAAGUAUUUGCAUGUAGAUCAGGAAUUCAAGUGAGAUGUUAAAAUGCAACACAUUUAGGUAAUACCAGCAAAGAAAUGUGAAUAUUAAGCAAUAUGUAGUUAGUCAUAUAAUUUAAUAUACUGAAUAAGGCUGGAUGAUAUGACUUACAAGAUUUUUCUUCAUACCAGAUUUGAUUUUAAUAGAUUCCUCCUGCCCUCAAUUUCUAUAAUAAAAUCACAGAAAAU